rnacentral:rRNA from 1 species
GAUGAACGCUAGCUACAGGCUUAACACAUGCAAGUCGAGGGGAAACGGCAUUAAGUGCUUGCACUUUUUGGACGUCGACCGGCGCACGGGUGAGUAACGCGUAUCCAACCUUCCCAUGACUAAGGGAUAACCUGCCGAAAGGCAGACUAAUACCUUAUGGUCUUCACUGACGGCAUCAGAUGUGAAGUAAAGAUUUAUCGGUUAUGGAUGGGGAUGCGUCUGAUUAGCUUGUUGGCGGGGUAACGGCCCACCAAGGCAACGAUCAGUAGGGGUUCUGAGAGGAAGGUCCCCGACAUUGGAACUGAGACACGGUCCAAACUCCUACGGGAGGCAGCAGUGAGGAAUAUUGGUCAAUGGGCGAGAGCCUGAACCAGCCAAGUAGCGUGCAGGAUGACGGCCCUAUGGGUUGUAAACUGCUUUUGUAUGGGGAUAAAGUCAAUCACGUGUGAUUGUUUGCAGGUACCAUACGAAUAAGGACCGGCUAAUUACGUG